GCCCGGGUAGCUCAGCCUGGAUAGAGCGCCGGGCUGUGGACCCCUCGAGAUGAGGAGGGUGGAAACCCGGAGGUCCCGGGUUCAAAUCCCGGCCCGGGCC
rfam:Desulfurococcus kamchatkensis 1221n, complete genome.